UACGUAAGUGGCAAGCGUUAUCCGGAAUCACUGGGUGUAAAGGGUGUGUAGGCGGUAAUUUAAGUUUCGCGUUUAAGAUCAGGGCUCAACCCCGACAUGGCGCGAAAUACUGAAUUGCUUGAGUGACGAAGAGGAAGUUGGAACUCCAGGUGAAGCGGUGAAAUGUGUAGAUAUCUGGGGGAACACCAAUGGCGAAGGCAGGCUUCUGGUCGUCAACUGACGCUGAGACACGAAAGCGUGGGGAGCAAAC
rnacentral:rRNA from 1 species